rnacentral:rRNA from 1 species
UUCCGGUUGAUCCUGCCGGACCCCACUGCUAUCGAGGUGGGACUAAGCCAUGCUAGUCGAACGACCCCGGACUAUGGCGGGGGAGUGGCGGACUGCUCAGUAACACGUAGCUAACCUACCCUCGGGACGGGGACACCCCCGGGAAACUGGGGCUAAUCCCCGAUAGGUGUGGAGGCCUGGAAUGGUUCCACGCCCAAAGGUCUGCGCGCCCAUGUCGCGCGCCGACGCCCAAGGAUGGGGCUGCGGCCGAUCAGGCUGUUGGUGAGGUAAAGGCUCACCAAACCUUUGACCGGUACGGGCCGUGAGAGCGGUAGCCCGGAGAUGGGCACUGAGACAGGGGCCCAGGCCCUACGGGGCGCAGCAGGCGCGAAACCUCCACAAUGCACGCAAGUGCGAUGGGGCUACCUCGAGUGCCGCCUUAAGAAGGCGGCUUUUCCACUGUGUAAUGAGCCGUGGGAAUAAGAGGGGGGCAAGACUGGUGUCAGCCGCCGCGGUAACACCAGCCNCUCGAGUUGUGNGGACGUNUAUUUGGCCUAAAGCGUCCGUAGCCGGCCNGNUAAGUCCNCUCGUUAAAUCCNGCGUCCCNAGNGUUGGNCCGCGAGGNANACUGNCNAGCUAGAGNNUGGAAGAAGUCNGNGGUAUUCNUGGGGUNGGGGCNAAAUCCAUUGAUCCCAGGAGGACCACCAGUGGCGAANGNUGCUGACUANUACACGCCUGACGGUCANGGACGAAAGCUGGGGGAGCGAAUCGGAUUAGAUACCCGAGUAGUCCCAGCCGUAAACGAUGCAGGCUAGGUGUUNGGGGCGGCCACGCNCCGCCUCAGUGCCANAGGGAAGCCAUUAAGCCUGCCGCCUGGGGAGUACGGCCGCAAGGCUGAAACUUAAAGGAAUUGGCGGGGGAGCACAACCAGGCGUGAAGCCUGCGGUUUAAUUGGAGUCAACGCCGGGAACCUUACCGGGAGCGACAGCAGANUGAAGGCCAGGNUGAAGGUCUUGCCNGGACGAGCUGAGAGGAGGUGCAUGGCCGUCGCCAGUUCGUGCCGUGAGGUGUCCUCUUAAGUGAGGUAACGAACGAGACCCGCACCCCUUGUUGCCACCAAAUCCUANNNNGGAUGUUGAGCNCUCUUGGGNNANCNCUGCNNACNAGGCAGANGAAGGNGCGGNCAACGGCAGGUCANUAUGCCCNNAAUCUCCCGGGCCACACGCGGGCUGCAAUGGUAGGGACAGAGGGCUGCANCCCCGAGAGGGGGAGCCAACCCCUAAACCCUACCUCAGUUGGGAUCGAGGGCUGCAACCCGCCCUCGUGAACAUGGAAUGCCUAGUANCCGCGCGUCAUCAUCGCGCAGUGAAUACGUCCCUGCUCCUUGCACACACUGCCCGUCGAACCACCCAAAUGGGGUUUGGGUGAGGCGUGGUCGAAAGUUGGCCGCGUCGAACCUAGGCUCCGUGAGGAGGGUUAAGUCGUAACAAGGUAACC